UGGGUAACCUGCCUCAAAGAGGGGAAUUGCCUCCCCGAAAGGGAGAUUAAUACCGCAUAAUAUGUUUUAGUCGCAUGACUUAAACAUCAAAGGAUUUUUCUUUUAGAAAUUCCACUUUGAGAUGGACCCGCGGCGCAUUAGCUAGUUGGUGAGGUAACGGCUCACCAAGGCAACGAUGCGUAGCCGACCUGAGAGGGUGAUCGGCCACAUUGGAACUGAGACACGGUCCAGACUCCGUAGGGAGG
rnacentral:rRNA from 1 species